UACGUAGGGGGCAAGCGUUGUCCGGAUUUAUUGGGCGUAAAGAGCGUGUAGGCGGCCUGAAAGGUCAGCUGUGAAAACUCGAGGCUCAACCUCGAGACGUCGGUUGAAACCAUCUGGCUAGAGUCCGGAAGAGGAGAGUGGAAUUCCCGGUGUAGCGGUGAAAUGCGCAGAUAUCGGGAAGAACACCCGUGGCGAAGGCGGCUCUCUGGGACGGUACUGACGCUGAGACGCGAAAGCAUGGGGAGCGAACAGG
rnacentral:rRNA from 1 species